GAGAAAUCGAAGCUCGAUAUGACGCAAAAGCAAACCACAUCAAGUCCUGAGGUAUGUGUUCUCUUCUUGCUUGAUCACAUAAAAUCUACCAUUAUUUUAUAGUUGCUUCAUACUACAUAACAGUUUCUUCUCUAUUUUUCUUCAUGCAACUCGUUCCAAACCAAAAAAAAAAGAAAUCAAAAGCUUUUCAACACUAGAACACUGCACAAGAAGUCAAAAUUCAGCUCCUUAUGCAUAUACAUGAGUUGCAAAAUUCAUAAAAACAAAUAGAUACGAACUAGACGAUUGAGGGUGGAUUCGAGUCUGACGACAGUGAAAUUUGGGGGAAACUUAGAGGACCCAUGAAUGGAAGAAUCUUGUUGAAGAACUCUAACCUCGUCCUCUUUGUCAUGUCCUUCUCCUCCUAGAAUGGAAGAUUACGGGUGGCGGCUGCUCUUCGUGGAGGAGACAUCAUUGUACAAUCGUGCGGUGCUGGGAGCUUUCUUGCCGAGUAAUGUGUGGGAACCAGUCCCUCACUUCUUCCAGACGUGGCUCCGGAACUACAUUGGAGUAAUCCUCAUGUACUUCGUAUCUGGUUUCCUCUGGUGUUUCUGCAUUUAUUACUUGAUCAAAGUUUAUCAUCCUAAAGAUGGUGAUGGCUGUUUUCGCAUACAUCUAUCAUCAGUCAUUUGUUGCAUCACAAAGUUUAUCGGUUGAGAUGAUUUUGGACCAGAUAUUGAUGAACCUCACUUUCGAGGAGCAGUGAGCUCUGUACACGUAUGUUUGUAGCUUCUCCAGGUGAUCAUCAUUCUCAUUCACUCAAUACUAGCUUCUCAAUCUGGAAAUAAAUAAGUAAAUAAUAAUAAUGCCUAAUUUAUCAACGUUGUUAUCUACUUACAUGUAUGUUUGUAGGACUCACACAAAAAAUAUGGUGGCGUAACAGGUCAGAUAGUAGGGCCUACUUAUGAGGAAGAAAAAAAGAAGAAAAAAAAAAAAACAGUCAAUUGCUGUGUGACCAAUGGGACAAUUUGCUUUCUGUGUCUGUUUCUGUGAAUUUCUCCUGUGUUUGUAGACUGAUUCUUAUGUAAAAAUCACAAUAGUGGGAAAGCAAAAACA